CCUACGGGUGGCAGCAGUCGAGAAUCAUUCACAAUGGGGGAAACCCUGAUGGUGCGACGCCGCGUGGGGGAAUGAAGGUCUUCGGAUUGUAAACCCCUGUCAUGUGGGAGCAAAUUAAAAAGAUAGUACCACAAGAGGAAGAGACGGCUAACUCUGUGCCAGCAGCCGCGGUAAUACAGAGGUCGCAAGCGUUGUUCGGAAUCACUGGGCGUAAAGCGUGCGUAGGCUGUUUCGUAAGUCGUGUGUGAAAGGCGCGGGCUCAACCCGCGGACGGCACAUGAUACUGCGAGACUAGAGUGAUGGAGGGGGAACCGGAAUUCUCGGUGUAGCAGUGAAAUGCGUAGAUAUCGAGAGGAACACUCGUGGCGAAGGCGGGUUCCUGGACAUUAACUGACGCUGAGGCACGAAGGCCAGGGGAGCGAAAGGGAUUAGAUACCCGAGUAGUC
rnacentral:rRNA from 1 species